rnacentral:lncRNA from 1 species
ACCCUAGGCAGGCACUGCUCCGUGAUCCAGGAACCACCUCUCUCUACAGCUGGGAGUGAGCAGUCAGAGAGGGAGACAGCCUUGCCCGGUGCUACCCAGCAAGCUAGUCACCGAGUGGGCAGAGGGAGGAGCGGCCCUCACCGGAUGUCAAGCAGCCUGGGUCCCCAGUCCAGCUCUGCCUGUCCCUCGCAAUAACGCCUCAGAUGGGGAAACUGAAGCCCAAUGUCACGGAGGUAGGAAGGGGCAGACGUAGACUUGGAAGGAUUCUGUGGCCUGUUCGAGGUUCCGUGCAUGAGCCGUGCUCCGUGGAGAGCCAGGUCUACCGUUCCAGCCUUUGCUCUCCCAGGCCCCUGGCUGUCCAUGUCCCACACCACCCUGACACCUGAUACUUGACACCCGUGUCACCAACAGCUACAGUGCACCACGGCCUUGGAACACCGCACUCAGUGCUCUGCCUGGAUGAGCCCUGUACCCCCAUGACGACCCCACUGUGGACAUUCUUAUGUCCAUUUUACAGAUGACGAAACUGAGACGGGCGGAUGCAGUGUUGUGCACAAGCCACACAGCUGGAAACGUGGGCUGGGGACUGGAACCCAAUUACCCGCUUUGGCUCUAUAAUCCUCUUUUUAUUUUUAUUUAAUUUUUUUAUGAGAUGGAGUGUAGCUCUGUCGCACAGGCUGGAGUGCAGUGACACGAUCUCAGCUCACUGUAACCUCUGCCUCUCGGGUUCAACCCAUUCUUGUGUCUCAGCCUCCCAAGAAGCUGGGAUUACAGUUGUGUGUCACCACGCCUGGCUAAUUUUUUGUAUUUUUAGUAGAGAUGGGGUUUCCCCAUGUUGGUCAGGCUGGUCUCGGACUCCUGACCUCAGGUGAUCUGCCCACCUCUACCUCCCAAAGUGCUGGGAUUACAGGCAUGAGCCACCGUGCCCGGCCCUUUAAUCCUCUUUUUAAAACACCUUAGGAUAUGAUAUAUCCAGAAUAGGCAAAUCCAUAGACACAGAAUGCAGAUCCGUGUGCCAGUGGCUAGGGGGUGAAGAGGAACUGCUGAAUGAGCGGGCGUUUCCUCCUGGGGUGACCAGCAUGUUCUGCGACUGCAGAUGAUGGCUGUGCCACCUUGUGAGGGUACUAAAUGCCGCCGAAUGGUACACCUUAAACUGGUUGAUUUUAUGUUAUAUGAACUUCCCUUCCAUACAUUAUUUGAGGCUGGGCACGGUGGCUCACACCUGUUAUCCCAACACUUUUGGAGGCCGAGAUGGGUGGAUCAUCUGAGGUCAGGAGUUUGAGACCAGCCUGACCAAAAUGGUGAAACCCCGUCUCUACUAAAAAUACAAAAAAAUUAGCUGGGUGUGGUGGCGCAUGCCUGUAAUCCCAGCUACUCAGGAGGCUGAGGCAGGAUAAUCGCUUGAAUCCGGGAGGCAGAGAUUGCAGUGGGCCUAGAUCGUGCCAUUGUACUCCUGCCUAGGUGACAGAGCAAGACUCCGCCUCAAAAAUAAAAAAUAAAAAAUAAAUUAUUUGGAAAAAAAA